GGUCCGCCAGAUUAUUACAAGUAAAAGCUUAAAACUCAAAGGACUUGACGGUGUCCCACACACAACCUAGAGGAGCCUGUCCUAUAACCGAUGAUCCACGAAAAACCUCACCACCUCUUGCCAAACAACCUAUAUACCGCCGUCGAAAGUUAACCUUGUGAGGGCAAAAAAGUGAACACAAUAGUUCAACACUAAUACGUCAGGUCAAGGUGUAGUUAAUAAGGUGGUCAGAGAUGGGCUACAUUUCCUUUUAAAGGAAAGACGAAUGGUAAAAUGAAAACUUCUCCAGAAGGAGGAUUUAGCAGUAA
rnacentral:rRNA from 1 species